rnacentral:rRNA from 1 species
CGAACGGGUGAGUAACACGUGAGCAACCUGCCCCGGAGACCGGGAUAACGAUCGGAAACGGUCGCUAAUACCGGAUGCCCCAUCAGGCCGCAUGACCCGAUGAGGAAAUGGAUUCCGCUCCGGGAGGGGCUCGCGGGCUAUCAGCUUGUUGGUGGGGUCACGGCCCACCAAGGCGACGACGGCUAGCUGGUCUGAGAGGACGACCAGCCACACUGGGACUGAGACACGGCCCAG